rnacentral:rRNA from 1 species
UACGAAGGGAGCUAGCGUUGUUCGGAAUCACUGGGCGUAAAGCGCACGUAGGCGGAUUUGUAAGUCAGGGGUGAAAGCCCGGAGCUCAACUCCGGAAUUGCCUUUAAGACUGCAUCGCUAGAAUCAUGGAGAGGUGAGUGGAAUUCCGAGUGUAGAGGUGAAAUUCGUAGAUAUUCGGAAGAACACCAGUGGCGAAGGCGACUCACUGGCCCGAUACUGACGCUGAGGCACGAAAGCGUGGGGAGCAAACAGG